rnacentral:tRNA from 1 species
UCCCUGGUGGUCCAGUGGUUAGGACUCUGCACUUUGACUGCCAGGGGCCUGGGUUUGAUCCCUGUUGUGGAA